ACAGAAAUUGAAUUACAGUUGGCAUAAGACAAACAGGGUUAAUAGGUAUCUUCUCCAGGAUUAAUAUAAGUACAUUUGGAGAGAGCAAUAUUCUUUCCACCAAUAUUGCUAAGCUUUGAGGAGGGGUCUGAAGGAGCCUGAUUGUUGAAGCAAAACUUCCCGUUUACCUACUGAUUGGAGGGUUUUUGAGCAUCUGGAAGCCAGAACAAAUAUGCUUCUUUCCAUCCUAGACCAUCCAUCCUCCCGCUGACCUUCCAGAUGACUGCAGGUGCAUGAGCACGCCCAGCAGGGAUCAGCUGAGCAAAAUCACCUCACCGAAUCAUAGUUUUUUAAUACAAAUGGGACCAGCUAAAAUGAACUUCAAGGAGAUUUUGAAAAGGAAAGGAGUGGGGAAAGACAUCACAAAGAAACAAAAUAAGCAGUCUUAAGUCUGCAAGAGAUGUACUGCGGAAGGUUUGUUCUGUUAUUUUUUUUCCUCUGCGUUUAUUGAAUAAAACAAAUCAAUAAAAAUGGUGUAUAUUCCAGGUGUAC